rnacentral:rRNA from 1 species
CGGGUAUUUAUUUUACUUNGAACNCCGNGNNGGGACAACNUUUANCACGAAAAGUNAAAAGUUUUUUNGGNUUCCUGGGGGGGGGAGUAANGGUCNCAAAGGCUGAAACUUAAAAGAAAUUGACGAAGGGCACCACAAGGNGUGGANCNNGCGGCUUAAUUUGACUCAACACGGGGAAACUCACCAGGUCCAGACACAANUAGGAUUGACAGAUUGAGAGCUCUUUCCUUGAUUUUGUGGGUGGUGGUGCAUGGCCGUUUCUUAGUUGGUGGAGUGAUUUGUCUGNUUAAUUGCGAUAACGAACGAGACCUUAACCUGCUAAAUAGCCCGUGCCGCCUAGGCGGCACGCCGGCUUCUUAGAGGGACUAUCGGCUCAAGCCGAUGGAAGUUUGAGGCAAUAACAGGUCUGUGAUGCCCUUAGAUGUUAUGGGCCGCACGCGCGCUACACUGACAGAGCCAGCGAGUUCCUCCUAGGCCGGAAGGUCCGGGUAAUCUUGUGAAACUCUGUCGUGCUGGGGAUAGAGCAUUGCGGUUAUUGCUCUUCAACGAGGAAUCCCUAGUAAGCGCAAGUCAUCAGCUUGAAUUGAUUACGUCCCUGCCCUUUGUACACACCGCCCGUCGCUACUACCGAUUGAAUNCUUUGGGAAAAAAUUCGGNCUGGCCCCUUUGGGAAAGGCACCUUUG